AUUGAACGCUGGCGGAAUGCUUUACACAUGCAAGUCGAACGGUAGAGGGGGCAACCCCUUGAGAGUGGCGAACGGGUGGGUAAUAUAUCGGAACGUGCCCAGUCGUGGGGAUAACGUAGCGAAAGCUACGCUAAUACCGCAUACGAUCUAUGGAUGAAAGCGGGGGAUCGCAAGACCUCGCGCGAUUGGAGCGGCCGAUAUCAGAUUAGGUAGUUGGUGAGGUAAAGGCUCACCAAGCCGACGAUCUGUAGCUGGUCUGAGAGGACGACCAGCCACACUGGGACUGAGACACGGCCCAGACUCCUACGGGAGGCAGCAGUGGGGAAUUUUUGGACAAUGGGCGCAAGCCUGAUCCAGCAAUGCCGCGUGCAGGAUGAAGGCCUUCGG
rnacentral:rRNA from 1 species